UGCCAGCCGCCGCGGUAAUACGGAGGGUGCAAGCGUUGUUCGGAAUUAUUGGGCGUAAAGCGCGUGUAGGCGGUCUGUUAAGUCUGAUGUGAAAGCCCGGGGCUCAACCCCGGAAGUGCAUUGGAUACUGGCAGACUUGAGUACGGGAGAGGGAAGUGGAAUUCCGAGUGUAGGAGUGAAAUCCGUAGAUAUUCGGAGGAACACCGGUGGCGAAGGCGACUUUCUGGCUCGUAACUGACGCUGAGGCACGAAAGCGUGGGGAGCAAACAGGAUUAGAUG
rnacentral:rRNA from 1 species